CUCUCUUUCAUUGUCAUAUAGUAUUGAUCCGCUAUAGUGCACAUUACACGACGUAGCACGGAGAGGCGGAGCGAGAAAGAGGGACUUGUCAACUUCGGAAAAUCUCUGUUCAAAACUGAACCGAAAAUGCAAGACGUGCUUUAAUUGUUUUCCUUCAAUUUCUUUCUGUAUCAUUUACUAUAAUGGAACUCAUGUUAUUUACACUGUGCUAGAUCAAUAC
rnacentral:lncRNA from 1 species